CCUACGGGAGGCAGCAGUGAGGAAUCUUGGUCAAUGGACGCAAGUCUGAACCAGCCAUGCCGCGUGCAGGAAGACGGCUCUAUGAGUUGUAAACCGCUUUUGUACGAGGGUAAAUGCGGAUAAGUGUAUGGGCAUGAAAGUAUCGUACGAAUAAGGAUCGGCUAACUCCGUGCCAGCAGCCGCGGUAAUACGGAGGAUUCAAGCGUUAUCCGGAUUUAUUGGGUUUAAAGGGUGCGGAGGCGGUUCGUUAAGUUAGAGGUGAAAUCCCUCGGCUCAACUCCGGCACUGCCUCUGAUACUGUCGGACUAGAGUUUAGUUGCGGUAGGCGGAAUGUCUUGUGUAGCGGUGAAAUGCAUAGAGAUAAUGCAGAACACCGAUUGCGAAAGCAGCUUACCAAACUACGACUGACGUUGAGGUACGAAAGCGUGGGGAGCAAACAGGAUUAGAUACCCGUGUAGUC
rnacentral:rRNA from 1 species